GAUGAACGCUGGCGGCGUGCCUAAUACAUGCAAGUCGAGCGAAUGGAUUAAGAGCUUGCUCUUAUGAAGUUAGCGGCGGACGGGUGAGUAACACGUGGGUAACCUGCCCAUAAGACUGGGAUAACUCCGGGAAACCGGGGCUAAUACCGGAUAACAUUUUGAACCGCAUGGUUCGAAAUUGAAAGGCGGCUUCGGCUGUCACUUAUGGAUGGACCCGCGUCGCAUUAGCUGGUUGGUGAGGUAACGGCUCACCAAGGCAACGAUGCGUAUCCGGCCUGAGAGGGUGACCGGCCACACGGGGACUGAGACACGUCCCAGACUCCUACGGGAGGCAGCAGUAGGGAAUCUUCCGCAAUGGACGAAAGUCUGACGGAGCAACGCCGCGUGAGUGAUGAAGGCUUUCGGGUCGUAAAACUCUGUUGUUAGGGAAGAACAAGUGCUAGUUGAAUAAGCUGGCACCUUGACGGUACCUAACCAGAAAGCCACGGCUAACUACGUGCCAGCCGCCACAGUAA
rnacentral:rRNA from 1 species